UCUUUGAUCCGUUAUUUUGUUUCAGGGCGCCCGACCCCCCAGCGGAUCGAAUGCGACGGCUCAGCGGGAAGGGCGCGGGCCCAGCGAGGGACGGUCCGUCGAUGGAUCGGUCGGUCGAGAUCCGGGGUCUCCCCCCGGGCCCUGUCGCGGACUCGCCAGACGGAUCCGAGUAGGGCAGAACUGAGACCCUUCUGCCGUGGAGAGAUAAAGACGACGAAACUCUGCGGUUGACCCUGUUAUUCUUUUCGUUUGAUCGACUUUUUCAAGUAAUUUGUCGGACUGAUUAGAACACGUUCUCACUGGGGCAG